rnacentral:rRNA from 1 species
GACGAACGCUGGCGGCGUGCUUUACACAUGCAAGUCGAACGGUGAAGGUGGAGCUUGCUCCGCCGGAUCAGUGGCGAACGGGUGAGUAACACGUGGGCAACCUGCCCCUAACUUUGGGAUAACUACUCGAAAGAGUAGCUAAUACCGGAUAUGAAGUCUGUAGGCAUCUAUGGAUUUGGAAAGUUUUUCGGUUAGGGAUGGGCCCGCGGCCUAUCAGCUUGUUGGUGGGGUAGUGGCUCACCAAGGCGACGACGGGUAGCCGGCCUGAGAGGGCGACCGGCCACACUGGGACUGAGACACGGCCCAGACUCCUACGGGAGGCAGCAGUGGGGAAUAUUGCGCAAUGGGCGAAAGCCUGACGCAGCAACGCCGCGUGCGGGAUGAAGGCCUUCGGGUUGUAAACCGCUUUCAGCAGGGAAGAAGCGGAAGUGACGGUACCUGCAGAAGAAGCACCGGCUAACUACGUGCCAGCCGCCGCGGUAA